UGCCCUCCUGACCAAGCUGAGCCUCCUCCUCCAGGAAGCUCUCCUAGACUGACCUCCCCACACCCCCUCAUUCCAGGCUCUUCUUCAAUCCGGCCACAAUGGCCAGACAACCUUUCCUCUCCUGGGUGCUGAUAGGUGGCUGUCAACAGGGGUGAAGGAACAUCAUGGUGCAGUAGAAAAAUCCUUCUGGAAAAGAGCCCAGGAGAGCCAGGAUCUGAUUCCAGCUCCACUCCUGACAUGUUGGGUUACCUGAGCAAAGAACUUCUCCAUGACUCAGUUUUCCUGAGUGCUGAGGCUGGUGCCUAUACGUCCCAGACUGCAUAUGGCUGGCCCUUCCAAGAUCCCUUGGGCUUGGGCGAAACUUUUAUUUGUCCACUUAUGAUUGUAGGAAAAUAGAGCUGGCCCUAAAUGAAACUGUCAAGAUCUGAAAACUAUGUUUUACAGACCUUUCUGUUCUUUCAUCCCAGAUCCCUUCCUCCCGCUUCCAAUAGUCAGUGGGAGAAGAGGGGAAGACCCCCUCUCCCAAAUAUUUCCCUCAUUUUUUCCAUCUAAACAUGAAAUAAUUUGAGUAGUAGAGUCUUGCAGGAGCGAGGUGAGUUUCAGUCAGUUGCCUUUCCCAGGUCAAUUGAACUUUAGGCCUUUAAUCAGUAAUAGUGAUAUGACUGACUGUAUUCCCUAUUCCAAUAAUGAUCUCUAAGAAUAUUUUGAUGGAGAGAUCCUAGGGAGCCCUUUAUCCCUGAAAUUCUUUGUGCCUAUUCAAAAUAUUGCAAAUAAACCUUAUUUUGUGCUUA